UGUGCGGGCACAAAUGUCGGCGAUUUCUGGCCAAGAUUUCAUUCAGUUUUUCUUUUGUUUUGUUUUGUUAUUUCAUUUUUACUUUUAUUUUAUUUUUAACGAUCCAUUCUGGCCUAUUGACAAACCAUUGUACAAGGCUUUUAGUUGUUGUACUUGAUUUUAAUUCUACGUAUCUUCAAAACAGUAAGAUAAGUCAGCUCACUGGAAACGUUUUCUCAGGGCUCGCAAAGCUACGAACGCUGCAUCUGGAAAACAAUGCACUAACUCAACUCACUGGAAACGUUUUCUCAGGGCUCGGAAACCUACAAACGCUGUAAGUUGAAAUCAC